rnacentral:rRNA from 1 species
GAUGAACGCUAGCGAUAGGCUUAACACAUGCAAGUCGAGGGGCAGCAUGAACAAAGCUUGCUUUGUUUGAUGGCGACCGGCGCACGGGUGCGUAACACGUAUGCAACUUACCCAUAAAGCGAGGAUAACCCGGAGAAAUUCGGACUAAUACUCGAUGGUAUUAUUAGGAGGCAUCUUCUAAUAAUUAAAGAUUUAUCGAUUAUGGAUAGGCAUGCGCAUGAUUAGCUAGUUGGUGAGGUAACGGCUCACCAAGGCGACGAUCAUUAGGGGUUCUGAGAGGAAGGUCCCCCACACUGGUACUGAGACACGGACCAG